GCAGCUAUCAGCGACAGGGAGGGGGAGAGACCAGAGAGAGAGACAGCGAGAGAGAAGCAAAGCAAGAUGUUGGCGAUUUUGCGUUGUCUGCACAGACAAGGUGACAAACUUAUCGACUUUGUGAGUACUUUUAAGCCAGCCGGGAAGAUUCUCAAAAAGCACUGGAUAUUGAGACAAGUGGUGGGUUCUGUGCCUUUUGCCGUGGUUCUUUCGCCGGCUAUGGUUGCGAGUGAGCGGGAGGGACGAGCUUGGAUUCGGAGCAAAUUUAGUUACUUCUUGUCCAAAAAGGAUGAUUCGGAUUCUCAGGCCUCUAACUAGUAAUUAAUCCUCAGUUAGGUUAUGUUCCAGCUUGUCGUUUUAAUUAUUUUCGUAAUUCAAACAGAUACAUGCCAGCAUCAACCUAUUCCCUUAUGAAUUUUCUAAUUUAUAUAUGAUCAUCUUGAUUUUCGUAGUUAUAA